GCAUAUCAAUAAGCGGAGGAAAAGAAACUAACAAGGAUUCCCCUAGUAACGGCGAGUGAAGCGGGAAGAGCUCAAAUUUGUAAUCUGGCACUUUCAGUGUCCGAGUUGUAAUCUCGAGAAGUAUUUUCCGCGCCGGACCGCAUACAAGUCUGUUGGAAUACAGCGUCAUAGUGGUGAGAACCCCGUAACUGAUGCGGAUGCCCGGUGCUUUGUGAUAUACUUUCGAAGAGUCGAGUUGUUUGGGAAUGCAGCUCAAAUUGGGUGGUAAAUUCCAUCUAAAGCUAAAUAUUGGAGCAAGACCGAUAGCGAACAAGUACCGUGAGGGAAAGAUGAAAAGCAUUUUGGAAAGAGAGUUAACAGUACGUGAAAUUGUUGGAAGGGAAACGCUUGAAGUCAGACUUGCUAUUCGGAGUUCAGCCGCAAGGUGUAUUCUUCGAUUCGCAGGCCAGCAUCAGUUUUCGGGGGUGGAAAAUCGCGGUUUGAAGGUAGCAACCUCGGUUGUGUUAUAGCUUUCCGCUGGAUUCAUCCUUGGGGACUGAGGAACGCAGUACGCUUUUUGCAAGGCUUUCGAGCUUUUCGUACUUAGGAUGCUGGUGGAAUGGCUUUAAACGACCCGUCUUGAAACACGGACC
rnacentral:rRNA from 1 species